rnacentral:rRNA from 1 species
UACAGAGGAGCCAAGCGUUGUCCGGAUUGACUGGGCGUAAAGCGCACGCAGGCGGAUGCGCGCGUGGGGUGUGAAAUCUGGCCGCUUAACGGCCAGGCGCCAUCCCAUACGGCGCGUCUGGAGUGAUGCAGAGGUCGAUGGAAUUGCCGGUGUAGUGGUGAAAUGCGUAGAUAUCGGGAGGAACACCAGUGGCGAAGGCGACUACCUGGCCUGUUCUUGACGCUGAGGCGCGAAAGCUAGGGGAGCAAACGGG